rnacentral:lncRNA from 1 species
UUGUAUUAUAAUAUGAGGCAGGUAUAACCUGUGAAUGGGGACGAAGUCUGUAUGUAUUAUUUUCUUACCUCAAACAUGUUAAUAAAGGAAACGGAAAUACCGUAACGUUCCCGAUUUCGGUUCUGUGGUUAUAGGGAUUUAGCUGUGACGUUGUUUAAAUUAUGACGUCAUAUUCAAUGUAAACAAAAGAAACGCUUCCAUCAGGUAACGUUUUUUUCAAAUCAAACAAUUAUUAAAAAUGAAAUUGUAUUGAGUUCCAAUCUUAUAUUUUACUAGACUGAUACAUAUAAUUUUCUUUUCAAAGUCUCAUGCAAACAAGACAGAUUUCUGUGCAAAUGCGGGGAAAACCGGAACAGGAACUAGAUC